UCCCAAGGUUUAUAUAAAACUUCCUCUAGGUUUUGAAAAUGAAAGAUGGAUUGAGGAAACAAUGAAAGUAUUAGAGGAGGACUAAGCAGGCUCACAGGGACCCUCUGAUUAAAUGUUUUGUGGGAGGGACACAGAGAACUGGCAGGAAGGAACAGCAGAAAUUGGAAGAAGAUAUGGCUGGCCGGCCUCAUGUGUGGGACAAUUCCAUGCUGCAACAUUUUACUGAAUGGAACAACUCCCACCUGUAUAAUUUAUAAGGCAAUGGGUGGGACUUCAUAAACACAGCAAGUAUUCUAAGUGGAAAUGUUUUGCUUCCAUUCCAAAAUGGCUAGCUGAUGGUAUUGAUUUUAGCUCUCCCUUGCUUCCCCAGGUCAAUUUCAGGUUCCUCCAUCUGGAAAAAUUUCGCUGGGCAAACGCCUACCCAUAAUAGCAACUUUCAUUUCAUAUAUAGAUCAGGAAAGUGUCUCUCCGCAGUUAAGUUGCCCGAAUGGCUCUGUGUUGAACAAGAGGAAUUAGUUGGUCUGUAGAAACCUCAAGGCUUGUCAGAGUAGGAAAAGAGUACUUCAACCAAAGAAAUCGAAAAGAUGCAUGAACAGAUAGAUGCACAAGUCCACAGAAUAACGCUGAAGCAAAAAAAAAUGGUGUCCAAGACUCAAGAAGCAAUGGAAAAUUGGGCUGUGGUAAGAUCUCCUUUGAAGUAGAGUACAGUUCGUUUCUGAGCCUUACAAUUCAGACAGGAUCCUGAUCAAUGGAAAAGUUUCAGAGAAGAGUCGCACGGAGGAUAAAUGUCUAGAAGACAAAUCGCACAAGGAAAACUUGGAGGAAACUGGCUGUUUUGCCCAGUAGAAAGGUUAGAGGGGGGGUUGGUCGAAAGUUUUGAGGGUAUAGAAGAACAUCACGCAGAAGAGAAAAGCUGUUCUCACAGGAUCCACUAAGGACAGGAUAGGACACAAAGCAACAGCUUAAGUGUGUCCCAACGGAUGCUGACUCUUGUGAGCCCGACUGCUAUGGCCUUUAUUGAAUGGCCUUGGGUAAGUCACUCUCUGCCAGCCUCAGUUCCCCAUCUGUAAAAUGAGAACAGCAAUGAUCUUGUUGUGAGGGUAAAUCCAAAGAAGGUCAAGUGUUCUGCAAAUUAUAUUGUUCUAAGCUGUGUACAUAAUUAUUACUUCCUAAUAUUCUUCCCCUUUUUUCCCAUUGUGAUCUAUUGUGCAUUAACCAAAGGGACCCAGGAUAGAGGUAGAAUUAAGGGGAGAGGAAAAUUUGAUGAAAUGGAGGCGUGACCCAUCAAAACCGCGCU